GGCGUCCAGCAGUGUUGGUGGUCCGCACCUCGGACUUCAAAUCCGACGCAGCCCGAUAAGGACUGGGAGUUCGAUUCUCCCUGGACGCCG
rnacentral:tRNA from 1 species